rnacentral:rRNA from 1 species
UACAGAGUCUCAAGCGUUGUUCGGAUUCAUUGGGCGUAAAGGGCGCGUAGGCGGCGGGGUAAGUCGGGUGUGAAAUCUCAGAGCUCAACUCUGAAACUGCACUCGAUACUGCUCUGCUUGAGGACUGGAGAGGAGACUGGAAUUCACGGUGUAGCAGUGAAAUGCGUAGAUAUCGUGAGGAAGAUCAGUGGCGAAGGCGGGUCUCUGGACAGUUCCUGACGCUGAGGCGCGAAGGCCAGGGGAGCAAACGGG